rnacentral:rRNA from 1 species
GAUGAACGCUAGCGGCAGGCCAAAUACAUGCAAGUCGAACGGUGUCUUCGGACAUAGUGGCGCACGGGUGCGUAACACGUAUGCAACCUACCUUACAUUGGGGGAUAGCCUUUCGAACGGGAGAUUAAUACCGCAUAAGACAGUAGCUGGGCAUCCAGCAGCUGUUAAAGCUUUUGCGAUGUAAGCUGGGCAUGCGUCCACUUAGCUAGUUGGUGAGGUAACGGCUCACCAAGGCAAUGAUAGGUAGGGGAACUGAGAGGUCAAUCCCCCACACUGGCACUGAGAUACGGGCCAGACUCCUACGGGAGGCAGCAGUAGGGAAUAUUGGGCAAUGGACGCAAGUCUGACCCAGCCAUGCCGCGUGCAGGAUGAAGGCGUUAUGCGUUGUAAACUGCUUUUAUACAGGAAGAAACGACUCUUGCGAGAGGCAUUGACGGUGCUGUAUGAAUAAGCACCGGCUAACUCCGUGCCAGCCGCCGCGGUAAUAC